UGCCUUGGGCCACACACACGCUACAAUGGAUGGCACAAUUGGCAGCAACAGAGCGAUCUGAAGCUAAUCCCAGAAAACCAUCCCCAGUACGGAUUGCAGGCUGAAACCCGCCUGCAUGAAGUCGGAGUUGCUAGUAACCGCAGGUCAGCAUGCUGCGGUGAAUACGUUCUCGGGCCUU
rnacentral:rRNA from 1 species